AGUGAACAUCAAAUAUUCUAGAGCAAGGGUGUAGAAGGGGUAUGGUGCUCCGACACCUCAGUGUCUUCCUCAGCGACCCUACGUCUCAUGGUCCCAUCCCCUGCCUCCCUUGUGGAAGUCUGGAUGGCAGACGGAGAGGAGCAUCAGUUGCCAGGAGCAGAACAGAGCUGGCAUGGUGCCAAGAGUGACUCCAUGAUGAAGAGGCUACUGCCUCAGGAGAGAGUAUGAGAAACCAGAGUUUGGGGCUGAGAGGAGCCACAGCAUUCAGGAAUUUAAGACAAACAGAUGGAAGAUGCCAAGACAAGUACUUUAACAGCUGGGAACUGGAAUACAGGCUGUGUUGUGUCCUGGUUUGACUCGAGGGAAUUUGGGUUCUCCUGAGACUCGUAUGGAAAUGACUGGAACAUGCAUCUGCUAGGGAGGUUUGUUAUCACAGCAUUGCAAGGUGAAAUUGUUUUAUCUUUCUGACUUUAAAUUUUUGUUUUUAUUUUCAGCUCUUCAGAUUUCGGAAAGUUCAGUUGGAAAGAGCAGCUGUGCUUGUUGGCAUUAGCUUUGAUUCAUAAAAGAUACAGGUGUGCUGCCAAAAAAUCCUAAACUGAAAGGAAAUCGGGUUACAUGAGUAAAGAUCAACACUACACAGAAACACUACCCUGUAGUGUAAGACAAGAAGUGAAGAGCUGUGUGCCCAGCUGAAAGCUGAGGGCAUGCAGCUGCCCAAGUUGGAAUCUGGCCAAGACUUGUGAGCCAACACCACUCGUUCAAUAUAAUAUAUAGGGUUGGAGAUAGAAGACUUGAAGCAGGUUGGGUUUCUCAGCCCCUGUUCAUUCUUCAGCUUCAUAUUUCGUAGGUGGUCUUAUCUCCACAUUCCCUUCCCUUUUGGUGGUUCUCCCUUACUCAUGGAUUUAUUUUAUACACAGUUGUGGGUUUUGAGAGGAUGGGGCCACUUCUUCAGUAAAGGAAUCUUCCAUAAUCUUCUAGGAGUAUGAGAGAGAGAGAGAGUCAAAUAGCUUCUUUUAGCAGCAGCCAUGGUGGAAAUAUUCUGCCCACCUCCCCAGAGAGGGGAGGGCAGUGUGCCCACAGCAGAUUUUAAUGUAUUCGUCAACACCAGACAGGUUCUGAUUAACCACAGUUGUGUCUUCCAGUGGAGCGUAAUGAUUAGGUCCAUCCAUCCUUUCUAUCACUGCAUGCUCCCUUCCAAACAAACCUCAUCAGUCAGUUAUUCUCCAUUAGACCUUUAUCAGACAGCAUUUAAACUGCCACUUGAAAUCAGCCACACUGAGUCUAUUAUUGGCAUUUCCACUUCUGUUUCCAGUUCUGAGUUUUUCAAAUUGAUGAACCUCCAUUAUCAUUGUAUAUAUUCUCCUCCUGUGACCUCAGAACCUUCAGCCAGUUCUCUUGUAUUUGUAUGUCUCAGUAUUAACCCCUUGUUCUCUCUUCUCUCCUUGCUCUCUCUGGCUUUCAAGGGGAGACUCAGUGCUGUGCAAGCAGGAAGCUACAUGUGUUUCAAGCAUCACAGGAUCUUCUCCUUCCCAGAGGCUAGUGAAGAUUAGAAGGCGAAAAAAAUGCACUCGCGACGAAAUGUUCUCUGAACUCAUGCUGUCCUCCCACUCUGACAGAGCACAGAUGAAUGCAUGGAGGCAGACAAUGUCAGAGUGCAGGAAAGCACAAAAUGACCAGGAGGAGAGGUGGCGGGCUGAAGAAAGUAAGUGGCGGGCUGAAGCUGAAAGGUGGUGGCAGCAUGAUGAGAGGAGGCAGGAGUCAAUGCUGAGGCUGCUGGAGGAUCAAACUAAUAUGCUCCAGCAUAUGGUUGAGCUGCAGGAAAGGCAGCUGGAGCACAGACCGCCGCUACAGCCCCUGUGUAACCAACCGCCCUCCUCCCCAAGUUCCAUAGCUUCCUCACCCAGACGCCCAAGAAUGCGGUGGGGGGGCCUCCGGCCACCCAGCCACUCCACCCCAGAGGAUUGCCCAAGCAACAGAAGGCUGGCAUUCAAUAAGUUUUAAAGUUUUAAACUUUUAAAGUGCUGUGUGACCUUGUCCUUCUCUACUCCACCACCCCUCCUGGGCUACCUUGGUAGUUA